AUUGAACGCUGGCGGCAGGCCUAACACAUGCAAGUCGAACGAGUGGCGGACGGGUGAGGAAUGUAUGGGAAACUGCCUGAUGGUGGGGGAUAACUACUGGAAACGGUAGCUAAUAACGCAUACCAUCAGAUGUGCCCAGAUGGGCUUAGCUAGUGGGGGGGGUAACGGCUAACCAGGGCGACGAUCCAUACCUGGUCGGAGAGGAUGACCAGCCACACUGGAACUGAGACAAGGUCCAGACUCCUACGGGAGGCAGCAGUGGGGAAUAUUGCACAAUGGGCGCAAGCCUGAUGCAGCCAUGCCGCGUGUAUGAAGAAGGCCUGCGGGUUGUAAAGUACUUUCAGCGGGGAGGCGUUACCCGCAGAAGAAGCACCGGCUAACUCCGUGCCAGCAGCCGCGGUAAUUC
rnacentral:rRNA from 1 species